rnacentral:rRNA from 1 species
AUCAUGGCUCAGGAUGAACGCUAGCUACAGGCUUAACACAUGCAAGUCGAGGGAAACGACAUCGAAAGCUUGCUUUUGAUGGGCGUCGACCGGCGCACGGGUGAGUAACGCGUAUCCAACCUGCCCACCACUUGGGGAUAACCUUGCGAAAGUAAGACUAAUACCCAAUGAUAUCCCACGAAGGCAUCGGAAUGGGAUUAAAGAUUUAUCGGUGAUGGAUGGGGAUGCGUCUGAUUAGCUUGUUGGCGGGGUAACGGCCCACCAAGGCAACGAUCAGUAGGGGUUCUGAGAGGAAGGUCCCCCACAUUGGAACUGAGACACGGUCCAAACUCCUACGGGAGGCAGCAGUGAGGAAUAUUGGUCAAUGGACGGGAGUCUGAACCAGCCAAGUAGCGUGCAGGACGACGGCCCUAUGGGUUGUAAACUGCUUUUAUAGGGGGAUAAAGUGUGCCACGUGUGGCAUAUUGCAGGUACCCUAUGAAUAAGGACCGGCUAAUUCCGUG